GACGGUACCCGAUGAAUAAGGGGCUCCUAACUCUGUGCCAGCAGGAGCGGUAAUACAGAGGCCCCAAGCAUUACCCGGAAUCACUGGGCGUAAAGGGUGUCUAGGCGGUCAUAUUAGUCUCUCGUUAAAUGUCCGGGCUUAACCUGGUCACCGCGAGGGAAACGGUAUGACUCGAGGGCGUAAGAGGUGCACGGAACUCAUGGUGGAGGGGUGAAAUCCGUUGGUAUCAUGGGGAACACCAAAGGCGAAGGCAGUGCACUGGUACGUUCCUGACGCUCAAACACGAAAGCCAGGGUAGCGAACGGGAUUAGAUACCCCGGUAGUCCUGGCCCUCAACGUUGCUCGCUCGUUUUACGGAGUAUCGACCCUCUGUGAGACUAAGCUAACGCGGUAAGCGAGCCGCCUGGGUAGUACGAUCGCAAGAUUAAA
rnacentral:rRNA from 1 species